GUGUCAGCAGCCGCGGUAAGACGAACCGUGCGAACGUUGUUCGGAAUCACUGGGCAUAAAGGGCGCGUAGGCGGCUUAUCAAGUCAGGGGUGAAAUCCGGCAGCUCAACUGUCGAAGUGCCUUUGAUACUGAUGAGCUCGAGGGAGGUAGGGGUCUGUGGAACUUCCGGUGGAGCGGUGAAAUGCGUUGAUAUCGGAAGGAACGCCGGUGGCGAAAGCGACGGACUGGACCUCUUCUGACGCUGAGGCGCGAAAGCCAGGGGAGCAAACGGGAUUAGAUACCCUCGUAGUCC
rnacentral:rRNA from 1 species